GAUGAACGCUGGCGGCGUGCCUAAUACAUGCAAGUCGAGCGAACAGACGAGGAGCUUUCUCCUCUGACGUUAGCGGCGGACGGGUGAGUAACACGUGGAUAACCUACCUAUAAGACUGGGAUAACUUCGUGAAACCGGAGCUAAUACCGGAUUAUAUAUUGAACCGCAUGGUUCAAUAGUGAAAGACGGUUUUGCUGUCACUUAUAGACGGAUCCGCGCCGCAUUAGCUAGUUUGUAAGGUAACGGCUUACCAAGGCAACGAUGCGUAGCCGACCUGAGAGGGUAAGCGUCCACCGUAGAACUUAGAAACGGUGCUGACGCCUACAAGAGGUGGCAGUAGGGAUUCUUCCCGAAUGGGCGGAAGCCGAAUCGUGCAACGCCGCGUGAGUGAUGAAGUUCUUCGCAUCGUAAAACUCUGUUAUUAGGUAAGAACAAAUGUGUAAGUAACUACGCACGUCUUGACGUUACCUAACCAGAAGGCCACGGCUAACUACGUG
rnacentral:rRNA from 1 species